rnacentral:rRNA from 1 species
ACCGAUAGUGAACCAGUACCGUGAGGGAAAGGUGAAAAGCACCCCGGAAGGGGAGUGAAACAGUUCCUGAAACCGUGUGCCUACAAGUAGUUAGAGCCCGUUAAUGGGUGAUAGCGUGCCUUUUGUAGAAUGAACCGGCGAGUUACGAUUUGUUGCAAGGUUAAGCGGAAAAAGCGGAGCCGUAGCGAAAGCGAGUCUGAAUAGGGCGCAUAAGUAACAGGUCGUAGACCCGAAACCAGGUGAUCUACCCAUGUCCAGGAUGAAGGUAAGGUAAUACUUACUGGAGGUCCGAACCCACGCACGUUGAAAAGUGCGGGGAUGAGGUGUGGGUAGCGGAGAAAUUCCAAUCGAACUUGGAGAUAGCUGGUUCUCUCCGAAAUAGCUUUAGGGCUAGCCUCGAGGUAAAGAGUCAUGGAGGUAGAGCACUGUUUGGACUAGGGGCCCUUCUCGGGUUACCGAAUUCAGAUAAACUCCGAAUGCCAUGUACUUAUACUCGGGAGUCAGACUGCGAGUGAUAAGAUCCGUAGUCGAAAGGGAAACAGCCCAGACCACCAGUUAAGGUCCCCAAAUAUAUGUUAAGUGGAAAAGGAUGUGGGGUUGCUUAGACAACCAGGAUGUUGGCUUAGAAGCAGCCACCAUUGAAAGAGUGCGUAAUAGCUCACUGGUCGAGUGACCCCGCGCCGAAAAUGUACCGGGGCUAAACAUAUUACCGAAACUGUGGAUGAACCUCUUUAGAGGUUCGUGGUAGGAGAGCGUUCUAAGGGCGGUGAAGUCAGACCGGAAGGACUGGUGGAGCGCUUAGAAGUGAGAAUGCCGGUAUGAGUAGCGAAAGAAGGGUGAGAAUCCCUUCCACCGAAUAUCUAAGGUUUCCUGAGGAAGGCUCGUCCGCUCAGGGUUAGUCGGGACCUAAGCCGAGGCCGAUAGGCGUAGGCGAUGGACAACAGGUAGAGAUUCCUGUACCAGUGCUAAUUGUUUAACCGAUGGGGUGACACAGAAGGAUAGGGAAUCGCACGAAUGGAAAUGUGCGUCCAAGCAGUGAGUGUGAGAAGUAGGCAAAUCCGCUUCUCGCGAAGCAUGAGCUGUGAUGGGGAAGGAAAUUAAGUACGGAAGUUCCUGAUUUCACGCUGUCAAGAAAAGCCUCUAGGAAGAGUAGUACUGCCCGUACCGCAAACCGACACAGGUAGAUGAGGAGAGAAUCCUAAGGUGAGCGAGAGAACUCUCGUUAAGGAACUCGGCAAAAUGACCCCGUAACUUCGGGAGAAGGGGUGCUCUAUUAGGGUGCAAGCCCGAGAGAGCCGCAGUGAAUAGGCCCAGGCGACUGUUUAGCAAAAACACAGGUCUCUGCAAAACCGUAAGGUGACGUAUAGGGGCUGACGCCUGCCCGGUGCUGGAAGGUUAAGAGGAGUGCUUAGCUUCGGCGAAGGUACGAAUUGAAGCCCCAGUAAACGGCGGCCGUAACUAUAACGGUCCUAAGGUAGCGAAAUUCCUUGUCGGGUAAGUUCCGACCCGCACGAAAGGCGCAACGAUCUGGGCACUGUCUCAACGAGAGACUCGGUGAAAUUAUAGUACCUGUGAAGAUGCAGGUUACCCGCGACAGGACGGAAAGACCCCGUGGAGCUUUACUGCAACCUGAUAUGGAAUGUUUGUACCGCUUGUACAGGAUAGGUAGGAGCCGAAGAGACGUGUGCGCUAGCAUACGAGGAGGCAAUGGUGGGAUACUACCCUGGCUGUAUGACCAUUCUAACCCGCCACGCUUAGCGCGUGGGGAGACAGUGUCAGGUGGGCAGUUUGACUGGGGCGGUCGCCUCCUAAAGAGUAACGGAGGCGCCCAAAGGUUCCCUCAGAAUGGAUGGAAAUCAUUCGCAGAGUGUAAAGGCACAAGGGAGCUUGACUGCGAGACUGACAAGUCGAGCAGGGACGAAAGUCGGGCUUAGUGAUCCGGUGGUUCCGCAUGGAAGGGCCAUCGCUCAACGGAUAAAAGCUACCCCGGGGAUAACAGGCUUAUCUCCCCCAAGAGUCCACAUCGACGGGGAGGUUUGGCACCUCGAUGUCGGCUCGUCGCAUCCUGGGGCUGUAGUCGGUCCCAAGGGUUGGGCUGUUCGCCCAUUAAAGCGGCACGCGAGCUGGGUUCAGAACGUCGUGAGACAGUUCGGUCCCUAUCCGUCGCGGGCGCAGGAAAUUUGAGAGGAGCUGUCCUUAGUACGAGAGGACCGGGAUGGACACACCGCUGGUGUACCAGUUGUUCCGCCAGGAGCAUCGCUGGGUAGCUAUGUGUGGCAGGGAUAAACGCUGAAAGCAUCUAAGCGUGAAGCCCCCCUCAAGAUGAGAUUUCCCAUUUCUUCGGAAAGUAAGAUCCCUGAAAGAUGAUCAGGUAGAUAGGUU